GACGAACGCUGGCGGCGUGCUUAACACAUGCAAGUCGAACGGAAAGGCCCUGCUUUUGUGGGGGGCUCGAGUGGCGAACGGGUGAGUAACACGUGAGUAACCUGCCCUUGACUUUGGGAUAACUUCAGGAAACUGGGGCUAAUACCGGAUAGGAGCUCCUGCUGCAUGGUGGGGGUUGGAAAGUUUCGGCGGUUGGGGAUGGACUCGCGGCUUAUCAGCUUGUUGGUGGGGUAGUGGCUUACCAAGGCAUUGACGGGUAGCCGGCCUGAGAGGGUGACCGGCAACGUUGGGACUGAGAUACGGCCCAGACUACUACGGGAGGCAGCAGUGGGGAAUAGUGCACAAUGGGAGGAAGCGUGAUGCAGCGACGCCGCGUGCGGGAUGACGGCCUUCGGGUUGUAAACCGCUUUCGCCUGUGACGAAGCGUGAGUGACGGUAAUGGGUAAAGAAGCACCGGCUAACUACGUG
rnacentral:rRNA from 1 species